GCAUUAAUGGGGUAGUGGUAACCUGGGUCGUUGCCACCUAUGAGCAGAUACUAAUGUCUUCGACCCGCCGGGGGUUCGAUUCCCUCUUAAUGCA